CUGUCUCUGAUGGUGUCAUCAAGGUGU
rnacentral:piRNA from 1 species